UACGGGGGGGGCAAGCGUUGUUCGGAAUUACUGGGCGUAAAGGGCGCGUAGGCGGCCUGCUAAGUCGGAUGUGAAAUCCCUCGGCUCAACCGAGGAACUGCAUCCGAUACUGGCGGGCUUGAAUCCGGGAGAGGGAUGUGGAAUUCCUAGUGUAGAGGUGAAAUUCGUAGAUAUUAGGAAGAACACCAGUGGCGAAGGCGGCUCACUGGCCCGGUACUGACGCUGAGGCGCGAAAGCGUGGGGAGCAAACAGG
rnacentral:rRNA from 1 species